CUGGCGACUAGACUCCCUUCCUGAUUGCGCAGAGGGCUGUUGUCUGGGACGGUGAUCUGUAGUGAGUAUCAGAAGAGGAUUGAUACCCAUCUAUCAUUAUGUACUAUCAGAAGUCAUCAUGAGUCAGCGACAGAUGUGAAGGAGUAGAACCUGAACCCAUGAGAUCUGAAGAGCAACAGAAGAAGGAAGGAAAGGCUAAGGACCAACAAGUUCAUUUGUAGGACAUCUAAUCCUAACUGAAGAUAUUCAGAAUCACCAAGGAAACACAUUUCUGGGUGUGUUUGUGAUGGUGUUUCCAGAAAAAUUUAACUGAGG